rnacentral:tRNA from 1 species
GGGGAUUUAGCUCAGUUGGUAGAGCGCUUGCCUAGGAAGCGCAAGGCUCUGGGUUCGGUCCCCAGCUCCG